rnacentral:snRNA from 1 species
GUUUGAUUCUGAUUUUCAGU